rnacentral:tRNA from 1 species
UGCAUCGGGAAUGGUCGGGAUAGCUCA